GUCCACGCCCUAAACGGUGCACACUAGGUCUUAGCGGAUUCGAUCCCGCUAGGGCCCAAGCUAACGCGUUAAGUGUGCCGCCUGAGGACUACGGUCGCAAGACUAAAAACUCAAAAGGAAUUGACGGGGGCCCGCACAAGCGGUGGAGCAUGUGGCUCAAUUCGAUGCAACGCGAAGAACCUUACCAGGCCUUGACAUGCACUAGACAGACACUGAAAGGUGUCCUCCCUUCGGGGCUGGUGCACAGGUGCUGCAUGGCUGUCGU
rnacentral:rRNA from 1 species